rnacentral:tRNA from 6 species
GCGGCUGUAGCUCAGACGGAUAGAGCAUUCGCCUCCUAAGCGAAGGGUCGCGUGUUCGACUCACGCCAGUCGCACCA